rnacentral:tRNA from 1 species
UAGCUCAGUGGUAGAGCGUGUGCUUAGCAUGCAUGAAGUCCUGGGUUCAAUCCCCAG